rnacentral:pre_miRNA from 1 species
AGUGAAACUGUUGGGUCAUAUGGUAAUCCUAAAAUCAACUCUUUGAAGAACUGCCAAACUGUUUUCCACAGUGGCUGCACCAUUUUACAUUCCCACCAACAAU